UCAGUAACACGUAGUCAACAUGCCCAGGGGACGUGGAUAACUUCGGGAAACUGAGGAUAAACCGCGAUAGGUCAUUGAUUUCUGGAAUGGUUCAUGGCUGAAAUCUAUAUGGCCCCUGGAUUGGACUGCGGCCGAUCAGGCUGUUGGUGAGGUAAUGGCCCACCAAACCUGUAACCGGUACGGGCUCUGAGAGGAGGAGCCCGGAGAUGGGCACUGAGACAAGGGCCCAGGCCCUAUGGGGCGCAGCAGGCGCGAAAUCUCUGCAAUAGGCGAAAGCUUGACAGGGUUACUCUGAGUGAGUUCCCGUUAAAGGAGAUCUUUGGCACCUUUAAAAAUGGUGCAGAAUAAGGGGUGGGCAAGUCU
rnacentral:rRNA from 1 species